rnacentral:rRNA from 1 species
UCAUCUUCGGGGGUAGAGCACUGUUUCGGCUAGGGGGUCAUCCCGACUUACCAACCCGAUGCAAACUGCGAAUACCGAAGAAUGUUAUCACGGGAGACACACGGCGGGUGCUAACGUCCGUCGUGAAGAGGGAAACAACCCAGACCGCCAGCUAAGGUCCCAAAGUCAUGGUUAAGUGGGAAACGAUGUGGGAAGGCACAGACAGCCAGGAUGUUGGCUUAGAAGCAGCCAUCAUUUAAAGAAAGCGUAAUAGCUCACUGGUCGAGUCGGCCUGCGCGGAAGAUGUAACGGGGCUAAACCAUGCACCGAAGCUGCGGCAGCGACACUAUGUGUUGUUGGGUAGGGGAGCGUUCUGUAAGCCGUUGAAGGUGUCCUGUGAGGGGUGCUGGAGGUAUCAGAAGUGCGAAUGCUGACAUAAGUAACGAUAAUGCGGGUGAAAAACCCGCACGCCGGAAGACCAAGGGUUCCUGUCCAACGUUAAUCGGGGCAGGGUGAGUCGACCCCUAAGGCGAGGCCGAAAGGCGUAGUCGAUGGGAAACAGGUUAAUAUUCCUGUACUUGGUGUUACUGCGAAGGGGGGACGGAGAAGGCUAUGUUAGCCGGGCGACGGUUGUCCCGGUUUAAGCAUGUAGGCGGGAGUUUUAGGUAAAUCCGGAACUCUGUUAACGCUGAGGUGUGAUGACGAGGCACUACGGUGCUGAAGUAACAAAUGCCCUGCUUCCAGGAAAAGCCUCUAAGCAUCAGGUAACACGAAAUCGUACCCCAAACCGACACAGGUGGUCAGGUAGAGAAUACCAAGGCGCUUGAGAGAACUCGGGUGAAGGAACUAGGCAAAAUGGUGCCGUAACUUCGGGAGAAGGCACGCUGAUAUGUAGGUGAAGUGGUUUACCCAUGGAGCUGAAAUCAGUCGAAGAUACCAGCUGGCUGCAACUGUUUAUUAAAAACACAGCACUGUGCAAACACGAAAGUGGACGUAUACGGUGUGACGCCUGCCCGGUGCCGGAAGGUUAAUUGAUGGGGUUAUCCGUAAGGAGAAGCUCUUGAUCGAAGCCCCGGUAAACGGCGGCCGUAACUAUAACGGUCCUAAGGUAGCGAAAUUCCUUGUCGGGUAAGUUCCGACCUGCACGAAUGGCGUAAUGAUGGCCAGGCUGUCUCCACCCGAGACUCAGUGAAAUUGAACUCGCUGUGAAGAUGCAGUGUACCCGCGGCAAGACGGAAAGACCCCGUGAACCUUUACUAUAGCUUGACACUGAACACUGGUCCUUGAUGUGUAGGAUAGGUGGGAGGCUUUGAAGUGUGGACGCCAGUCUGCAUGGAGCCAUCCUUGAAAUACCACCCUUUAAUGGCUGGUGUUCUAACGUAGACCCGU